GACGAACGCUGGCGGCGUGCUUAACACAUGCAAGUCGAACGGAAAGGCCUUGCUUUUGUGGGGUGCUCGAGUGGCGAAAGGGUGAGUAACACGUGAGUAACCUGCCCGUGACGUUGGGAUAACUUCAGGAAACUGGGGCUACUACCUGAUAGGAGCUCCUGCUGCAUGGUGGGGGUUGGAAGGUUUCGGUGGUUGGUGUUGGACUCGGGGCUGAUCAGCUGGUUGGUGGGGUAGUGGCUUACUAAGGAUUGGACGGGUAGCUGGGCUGAGAGUGGGACCGGCCAACUUGGCACUGAGAUACGGCCCAGACGACUGCGGGAGGCAGCAGUGGGGAAUAUAGCCUGAUGGGCGGAAGCCUGAUGGAGCAACGCCGCGUGCGGGAUGACGGCAUUCUGGGAGUAAGCGGAUUUCGCCUGUGACGAAGCGUGAGGACGGGAAAUGGAUAAAGAGGCACGGGCUAACUACUU
rnacentral:rRNA from 1 species